rnacentral:rRNA from 1 species
GCCAGAGGGUGCAAACGUUGUUCGGAAUUACUGGGCGUAAAGCGCGUGUAGGCGGCUGCGCAAGUCGGAUGUGAAAUCCCGUGGCUCAACCACGGAAGUGCACCCGAAACUGCGUAGCUCGAGUCUCGGAGAGGAAGGUGGAAUGCUUGGUGUAGAGGUGAAAUUCGUAGAUAUCAAGCGGAACACCGGUGGCGAAGGCGGCCUUCUGGACGAUGACUGACGCUGAGACGCGAAAGCGUGGGGAGCAAACAGG